AUGGAGAUGGUUGAUUGAGUUUAGAAGAUUUAUUUAAUAUUCACUAACUGAGAUCACCACAUUAUAAAAGCAUCUAAGUUUUCUGGAGUUAUGUAAGCACGAGCCAUCUCCGUUACUUGUUCUUUCACCUGUAAAUUAAUUAAUGGAUAAUUAAUUUCAAUAUCUAAGUUGGUUUAAAUUAACCUACUUAGUAAAUAUAGUAAAUAAAUUGUAAGAAUUACCUGGUGUUGGCUCAAAUUAAGACCAGAAAAUGAAAUGGUACAGAAAGGGGUGAAUGUGCACAGAGAAGUAGCUAAAGCUAAAUGUCCAAAGGGUAUCAAGCGACCGGUGACUGCUGAAAACCAACUGCUAGCAUAGCGAGGUGGUGUAGCAGAUAUCAGUUCAUUUUGUGGUUUCUUUGGAGCUUCCUCAGAAUAAUUAGAAGGUACAUAUUCUGGAUAUGUUGGAUAAUAAUAUUGUUGAUGAGGUAAUUGUGGUACUUCUGACUGCGAUGGAGUAAACACUGUGCUACGGAGAUCACUAGAUGUUGAAGGGUUGGAUAGCGAAUGCUCUGAGGAGGGAGUUGUUGGCUCUGGCGCAGAAGUGAUUGAUGCUCCAAACGCUUUGGUCGUUAGAAUUAUUACGAAGAGGGAUAUUCUGUACAUCGUGAAUGUUAUCUAGAAUUAAAAAAAGCAUAAUAUGUAAAUACUUCGUUAAGAGUAAUUAAUAAGAACAAUUGAUAUUUAUUUCAUAUUAACAAAUAAUUUAAUACUUACAAGUCACUAUUUUAGCUGGUAAAUUAAAUUAACAAGUUUAUCUACUUAAAUUUUAAAACUUCAAGUAUACGUGCACUGUGAACUGCAAAAUCUCUACUGACCUGUUGACUUAGACCUUCAGUAGCUUUUAUACCCUCGGAAGAUUUCUUGCUGUUUCAGGUAAUAGUCUAUACUCCAUGAGUAUAAUAGUUUUCUUUGAAUUUUUUCAAAUGGUCAAUCUUUCUUAAAAAUUGUAAGCAUGACCAGCAAAAUAUCAACCGACCGCGAAAAUUGGUUUCUAGUACUUAUGUUUGCUGAUCGGUUUGAAGAUAAUCCUAAGAAUUUUUUAAAAACGACAAAGAAAAUUUCGUCUGAGACAGAUGAAAUAGAAAAUAGUUUUUAAAUUGAGUGAGACACAAAAUUUAUAA